GGGAGGCGUCAUCUGCAACGUCGAGCACCACGUCGGCGACCGUGGUGUCUUCGCCAGGGCCUCCGGUGACUACGCCAUCGUCAUCAGCCACAACCCCGACAACGGCACCUCAAGGUACUGUUCCCUUUCCUCUCAACCCUCUCUCUAAAGUACAUUACUAUGGUUAGAUCUGACGUUCUCCUGCUAGUAACUGUCAUUAGAUUUGGUGUAUGUGAUUCGCUGAAGGAAUUGAUUAAAUGCUCAUAGUUCGAUCUGAGUAUAUGUUCGUUCACUGCUUCUGAUAUGUGUGAUUUAGAUGCUCUUUAAUUGAUUAAGGAUUGGAAACCUUAAAUGUGUGUGUUUCAUCUAUCAAAGACAAAUUCUUAGGAACUCAUUCUGUCGUUGAGCCUUGAGAUGUCUCCUGUUCAUCGUAUAAUCUACAACUGUUACGAUAUGCUUGCUCUUCUGUUAUCUUAGAACUGUACACGAUAUGCUUUCUUCUGUUAACUUUGAACUUGGCAUGACAUGCUUUCUCUUCUGUUAUCCUAGAACUGGACAUGCAUCUUGUAAUUCUGUAAACAUUAAACCAGAGACAUGUGAUCUCUAACUGUAUUAUCCUGCUUCUGUCUUCAGAUUGGCCUACUGUGCUUUAAGAUUAUGAUCACUAGCGUUUACUUAGAUGUGGACCAUUUCUUACUAUCAGUUCUUGUCAGUACAAGAUCAUAUGUGUAUUUUUGGUUAUUUUGCCUGAUGGCCUGAUGCUUUUGAUGAAUUCUUCAGCUGUACAAAUAUUUAGACACAGUUACUCAUGUUCUGUUUAUGCAGGAUCAAGCUCCCCUCUGGUGCCAAGAAGAUUGUCCCAAGCAGCUGCCGUGCCAUGAUUGGUCAGGUUGCUGGUGGUGGCAGGACUGAGAAGCCAAUGCUCAAGGCUGGUAACGCCUACCACAAGUACCGUGUGAAGAGGAACUCCUGGCCUAAGGUGCGUGGUGUGGCCAUGAACCCUGUGGAGCAUCCCCACGGAGGAGGUAACCACCAGCAUAUUGGUCACGCUUCCACUGUCCGCCGUGAUGCACCACCUGGCCAGAAGGUUGGUCUCAUUGCUGCCAGGAGGACUGGUCGUCUCAGAGGCCAGGCUGCUGCCUCUGCUGCCAAGGCCGACAAGGCCACUUAGAGCUAUCGUUGCUGUUUAUCUAUGUUUGCUGCCUCUAGAUUACCCGUCAAGGACAUGUAUUGCAGUAUGGAUGUCGUUUUUGCUCACUUUGGUAACCUGGUGAUGUUUGUUAUCAGUUUUCGCUGUCGUGGUCUGGAUUCUUCGGUCCACAUAAAGAAGAUUAUGCAUGGAUAUUUGUUUGUCGAGUUGCUUGAGUUAGCCCCUGGCGCUUAUUUUUGUUUACUGUUUUAGUUUAGCUAUAUUGCUGGAUCUCUAAACGUAGUUUUGUUUGGUCGAAUCAAACAGUUGUAUGUUUGCUUCUAUCUCGUGGUUCUUUGGAAUUUUAACCUUAGAGCCUCUCCAAUAGGUGAGUUAGAUGUAUAUAUAAAAAUGCCUGAUUUUUA
rnacentral:lncRNA from 1 species